rnacentral:misc_RNA from 1 species
UCAAACUUGGUCAUUUAGAGGAAGUAAAAGUCGUAACAAGGUUUCCGUAGGUGAACCUGCGGAAGGAUCAUUAUUGAGAAUCGGGUUCUCUUUGAGGCCCAUCUCCAAACCUUUGUCUAUUAUAUCUUGGUUGCUUUGGUAAAUCAGUCCUUUGGGACGAUUGGUUGAGAAAUCAACUGAUUCGUGUUUACCAAUAGCCUCUUUUUAAACUCUUGUUUAAUAACCAGUCUGAAAAACUUGAUUUUUAAUCAAACUAAAACUUUCAACAACGGAUCUCUUGGUUCUGGCAUCGAUGAAGAACGCAGC